rnacentral:rRNA from 1 species
AUACGAAGGGGGCUAGCGUUGUUCGGAAUCACUGGGCGUAAAGCGCGCGUAGGUGGAUCAAUUAGUUGAGGGUGAAAUCCCGGGGCUCAACCUCGGAACUGCCUUCAAUACUGUUGAUCUUGAGACCGAGAGAGGUGAGUGGAAUUCCUAGUGUAGAGGUGAAAUUCGUAGAUAUUAGGAAGAACACCAGUGGCGAAGGCGGCUCACCGGCUCGGUACUGACGCUGAGGUGCGAAAGCGUGGGGAGCAAACAGGAUUAGAUACCCUAGUAGUCC